AGUUGAUAUUAAUUGUGCAUAUAACAUUUCCCUACAGAGGGCAGAAAGUUACCCGAGGUGCCCUUCAUCACUGAGCCCAAAUGCAGACAGCCAGCUCUUUUUUUCUGAGAGUGAGGUGAAUACCGAAUAAGCUAGAUGGCUACUCUGAUAGCGUAGUGAAAGUGUUCAGAAAUAAUUGGGGUGAAGCAAGACGCAAACUCAGACUGGUCACAGCAGCCGUGGACAAGAAUAACAGUGGUGAGAUGUGCAGACAAUGUCUCCGCGAAGGGCUAUGUGUCUACGCAAAUAAUCAGCUUGAAUGCUUUAUAAGGACCCACCAGGACGAUGUUAAUCCUGAGGCCACCCGUGGGAUGGAGGCCAUCACCAUGCUAAUCUA